UACGUAGGGUGCAAGCGUUAAUCGGAAUUACUGGGCGUAAAGCGUGCGCAGGCGGUUAUGCAAGACAGAUGUGAAAUCCCCGGGCUCAACCUGGGAACUGCAUUGGUGACUGGCAGGCUAGAGUAUGGCAGAGGGGGGUAGAAUUCCACGUGUAGCAGUGAAAUGCGUAGAGAUGUGGAGGAAUACCGAUGGCGAAGGCAGCCCCCUGGGCCAAUACUGACGCUCAUGCACGAAAGCGUGGGGAGCAAACAGG
rnacentral:rRNA from 1 species